CAGCGCCACGGUAAUACGGAGGGUGCAAGCGUUAAUCGGAAUUACUGGGCGUAAAGCGCACGCAGGCGGUCUGACAAGUCAGAUGUGAAAUCCCCGGGCUUAACCUGGGAACUGCAUUUGAAACUGUCAGGCUGGAGUCUUGUAGAGGGGGGUAGAAUUCCAGGUGUAGCGGUGAAAUGCGUAGAGAUCUGGAGGAAUACCGGUGGCGAAGGCGGCCCCCUGGACAAAGACUGACGCUCAGGUGCGAAAGCGUGGGGAGCAAACAGGAUUAGAUACCCCAGUAGUCCCUGUCUCUUAUACA
rnacentral:rRNA from 1 species